ACCCGACACAGGUAGGCGAGGAGAGAAUCCUAAGGUGAUCGAGAGAACUCUCGUUAAGGAACUCGGCAAAAUGACCCCUAACUUUGGGAGAAGGGGUGCUCUGGUAGGGUGUAUAGCCCGAGAGAGCCGCAGUGAAUAGCCCCAGCCGCCUGUUCACCAAAAAGACAGGUCUCCUGCGAACCCCCAAGGCGAAGAAUAGGGGCUGACCCCUACCCGUUCCUGGAAGGUUAAGAGGAGGGGUUAUCCUUUGGGAGAAGCUCUGAAUCGAAGCCCCAGUAAACGGCGGCCGUAACUAUAACGGUCCUAAG
rnacentral:rRNA from 1 species